AACGCGAAGAACCUUACCUGGCCUUGACAUGUCCGGAAUCCUGCAGAGAUGCGGGAGUGCCUUCGGGAAUCGGAACACAGGUGCUGCAUGGCUGUCGUCAGCUCGUGUCGUGAGAUGUUGGGUUAAGUCCCGCAACGAGCGCAACCCUUGUCCUUAGUUGCCAGCACGUAAUGGUGGGAACUCUAAGGAGACUGCCGGUGACAAACCGGAGGAAGGUGGGGAUGACGUCAAGUCCUCAUGGCCCUUACGGCCAGGGCUACACACGUACUACAAUGGUCGGUACAGAGGGUUGCGAAGCCGCGAGGUGGAGCCAAUCCCAGAAAGCCGAUCCCAGUCCGGAUCGAAGUCUGCAACUCGACUUCGUGAAGUCGGAGUCGCUAGUAAUCGCGGAUCAGCUAUGCCGCGGUGAAUACGUUCCCGGGCCUUGUACACACCG
rnacentral:rRNA from 1 species